CUGAAAAACAGUAGGUCAGUAGCCUGCUGUUGACCAGAAGGUGGCUUACCAAUACUACUAACAGUCAAGUAACACAUUUUUAAGUACUAUAAAAUGUACUAUGUGUUACAUACUAUAUAUAUUCUUAAAGGGGAAAAAAUGUUAUUUUUGAAAUCAUAAAUGGAAAUACAAUUACAGUAUUUAUUUUUAAAAAUCCACAUAUGUGGACCUGUGUGAUUCAAGCACAUUGUUCAAAGGUCAACUGUAAUCUGUGUCUAAGGCUUUUUUCCCCCUUAGGCCAUUGAUGUGGCAGAGCUUCAAGGUAAAGUUGAAACAUUAAAUUAGAGUAUGUGCUGACAAUUCAUUUCUAUAGUUUUUUUUUUAUUUUAAAUAACUUGUGUUAAAACACUCAGUAGCAGGUCUGGGUCUGCACUGUGACCUUGUUGGUUUGCAUAGUGGUGACAGUACCAAAGCCACUCUCCUCUCUGCCCCACGUGGACUUUUCGGUCCAGUUGACUUUGACCAGUCCUGCCCUGUUUACAGUUUGCAUAGCCUGGGGUCAAGCUGGGCAGCUCUGGGGCCUGGCUCUGGGACAGGGCAGAGCACCAACUCUGGUCUUCUUCCACGUCUCCCCAUGUGAACUGAACCAGGUUUUGUUUCCUUGGAUGAAAUAGCAUCUGGAAUGAAGUAACAGAUACUGUGCAGCCUCUCUCUUCCAGUCUGUAGUUAAAGUUAGACUGGAAAAGAACCAACUUGAAGACUGUCACUGGUAUUUUUGUGUACCAAAAAAGGGAGAUGAGUUUCUAUGCAACUAGUUUUGAAAACACACCUCUUUAGCAAGGCCCAUCCUCUCCUCAGGAGACAACUUGUGCGCUGGGUUCUGUUUCUCAACUAAUUCAGGCAGAUGUGAACUUUCAAAGAAUCCCUGGGCAGAACAAGGACUAGAACUCCAAUCAGAUGUUAAAGUCCCAUGUAUUCCCCAGAGUCCCUGCAUGUUCCACGAUGAAGUCAGAACUAGAGGCAAGGAGGAUCAUGGACCUCUGUGUGAGAAGAAAGGUGUAACAGCUCUUUCACAGACCUUACUUGAGUCCUCAUAUCUCCCUGCCAGAAAAAACCUUGAAGCUGAACACCAACUCCACCUGCCAGCAGCAAAAGAGGUCAGCCCCACAGCAGUGCUGACCAACUUGGCUCACAGCCCCAGCUAAUCAGCAGUGUGAUCUCAGACACAACGGUGCAUGUCUCCACAAGGGGACAUGGGAGAGGGGCGUGACAAAAUACUUCAAGAGCAGAGGCAACUCUAGCAAAGGGGGUGAGGGAGGGUUUUUCCCUUGAAAAAUCUUUACAUCAAAUAAGCUAAAAAAUGUAAGUUGCAAAAGAUAAAAUUUAUAGCCUAAUACUAUAUGAAACAGACCCAAGUACCUACACAGUUCUAGAAGGGAUAAAAAAGUAUUACUCUCUGAAUUUUGUCAGUUUACUCAUAUAUAUAUAUAAUUUGUUUUUUAUCAACAAGUCAGUUUUUCAAACAUUUUUAUAGUCUUUUUUUCCUUUAAGAGUCUUGGUUUUAUCUGGCUGACAAAUACUAAUUUCUAAUUAGGGAAGAGCUUGUUUAUAUGACCAAAUCUUUCCAACUAGAGAUGAGGGGAAAACCAUUAUAAACUGAAACAAAUUUAAGAAAUCAACGUUACUCCCGGAAUUUUAUUCCAUUCCUUAGGAUAAACUCGCAGCAUCACUGAAGGACGAGGCCGAGCCAGGUCACACAGUGGUACAGGGGAACUCAAGAUCACAGCUUCUGGUCGUAAACCUUGUCCGAGCAUCUCAGACUGCCAGUGAGCCAUCAUUCCUCAGGCAUUUGCUACCUACCUCAAGAUGGGCAUGUGGCAGUUCCAGAAACCACCCAGUACCUUGUCACAUUCAACACGUCAAAGGCUUGGUAUUGUCCAGUGUUUUGGAGGGAGGACAGGUUCUGGUCACCUCAGCUGGGGUUUUCCGAUGCCUCAAAACCUGGAGUCUGGCUUCCUGUUUCUCAAGCCCUAUGGCCUUACUCUCUUCAACAGAAGCACCUGGCAUGUGUUGGUCCUGUUGAUUCUCAGGUUUUCACAUCACAGUUGUCAGUGUGACUACAUUCCAGUGCUCUGCAGCUCUCUGGCAGGUGGGGCCACCCGAGAAGUAACAGCAUAGUCAAGAUAAAUGCAGUCUGUUACAGGUGGACAGGAAAUACAGAGCUGGGCCAGGUGACACCAGCUCCACCUAGCCUACCCUAUGAGAAAGACCAAAAGGAGUCUGAAUCCUUCCUCCGAGAGGUCAGAGCUGGCAAACCCUGUAGAGGUACGUAACACCUGCGUGGAAGGCUUACCAAUACAGCAGUUAAGACUAUUUUGUCUUACUUAACUCAUCAGCCUCUCCCUUUCUGGUGUGAGCUCUGCCUCAAUCACACAAUGGCCAGCGCUUGUGAGGCCUAUUCACUGUUUAAUUCCAAGAUAGGGAAAAACUGCACUUGAGAAUGAAUCAUCCAUUUUAUUUUAUUUUGUCUUGUGUUCACAACCUCCUCUCUCUUCUCUCCCCUCCCUGGCAGGUCACAGAUAAAUUAAAAAUAAAAUCUACAAGGAAAAUAAUUUAUAAAAGCACUUCCCAGGCUCCUACUGCUCAGUUAAUGUGUUGCCCGCCCCACUCCAAAUGGGGAGACUCGGCACUUCCCCCACUCAAAGCAUUCCUGUUAUUCCAAAUGGAUGCGGGGGGCAGCAGUAGCAGACAUUUUAAAAAAUAAAGACACUGGUCCUGGAACCAUAUGGCCACCUUGGCACUUCCCUCUCUGCCUCCCCCAGGCAGUCCUCCAGGAGCCCUAGCUGAGCUGGGGGUGCUGACAAGCCGCCUGUAGCCAAGAGCCUGGGGUGGGGGAAGGUGCUCUCAACCGCCAUUACAUGCACUUCUCAUUCUCCUAGGAAGACACCCAAAAAAGAAAGCAGACGGAGACCUCGGGAUGGAGGAGAAAAAUCCCAAAUGUUCACACAGUUACACGGAGUCUUUAUGGCAAAGAGAACAUUUAGCAGCUUUGAAUAUUGGGGUAUCUCCUUGUUACUCAACACAAGCAUUCUAGACCCUAUAAGUGAAACAGGGCUCAAAGCCCUUAGGGGAAAAAAAAAAGCGCAGGAAACUCUAAGAGGACUAGUUUUGUUGUUGCUGGGUUUUGUAGUUUGUCUUUUCCAGUGACAAGCCCAGUUGUUGGUGGGAGACCUGAGGGGGUCACUCCUCAGUAUUGUGCUGAAUACUGCCUGGCUUCUCCACAUCGUCCCCCUGCCUCAAAACAGCCCCCAAGAGGCUGCAGGCCCAUCACUGGGGGCACUGCCAGCACCCCAGCUGCGGAAGAGCUCUGGGCAGCUAGUGAGGGGCCAGGAAGAGAACAGCAUUUGCAUGCAGGUUCUGAUGGAGUUGUGGGAGCCUCAGCUCAGGGGUGACUGGGCACCAAGGGAGAUGGAGUGGCAGGGCAGUGAGUGGCAUGCUUGGUGUUGGGGCUCCUGCAACACUGGGCCUUGUGAUCCUCUCCUGUUCGCCCCACCCUUUAACCCUAACCUUCUCCAAGCUAGCUAGUAUCGGGUCCCAGUGGCUCCCCAGCACUGAAACAUUCAAGGAGAUAUCGAAGAGCCUCCCCUUCAGGGAUGCCAAAGUGUGGGAGCAGAAAGAGUUCACAAAGCCCCUCCCAGAACCCACCCUGUCUGUUCCACCCCUCCCCUGGGGUGAAGUGGGGUUUACUCACACCAAUGACCUAGUCCCACCUAAAACCUGCUGCCUGGAAUCCUGGUCAGAUUCAAUCUUAACCUGCACUUUUUUCUUCAAGCUUUGAUUUUUUUUUUUUUUUUU